AUCUGUCUCUGUGCCAGCCAAGGCCUGAAAUGCCAAGCACUUGACUCCAUUGUCCUUUUCAUUUUGCCAGGCAGUACCUGCCCCGAAGCUGCAAAGAAAAAUGCCCCGGAUGACUUAAUCUGAAAGGGCCAGAGAGCGUGGAAAUGUGACCGUUAUCCAGGAACUCACUGAGGCACUGUGACAGAUACACAACUGAAGUACAAACGAAUGAUGCUCCAUGGGGCUGUCCUGGACCACGGAGGGAUGGGAGCCAAGAAGUGAGCCUGGAGGCAUUGUCAUGCCAUCGCCUUUCGUCUACUGAAACUCACAUUUCAGGUACUUCUCCCUCUUACACAAUAAAACAGCAAAGACAUGGGGUGGCGGGGGGGGGGGAAUCAAGUUGGCCUUGCAGCCUGGAAGCCUCUGGACUAGAUUUGCCUGGGCACCUUAGGGAGUUGGUAUUGACGCGCAGACAUGGAAACACAGAGUUUUAGAUUACUGAGCGAAAGAGAAAGAGAGAGAGGGAGAGAGAGUGGUGUAUCUGUGUGGGCUUGUGUGUUCUUUUUAAAAAAAAUUAUUUAAGUAUAGUUGAUUUGCAGUGUUAAUUUAUGCUCUAUAGCAAAGUGUGUCACUUAUACAUAUAUUUUUUUUCCACUAUGGUUUUUCACUAUAUUGAAUAUAGUUCCCUGUGUAUGCAGUAGGACCUUGUUUAUCUAUCCUAUAUAUAAUAGUUGGCCUCUGCUAAUCCCGAACUAUUUGUGUGUUGUUAACCUCUACUAGAUGGUUAUGAAGCUUACUCAAGGUUGAACACUGUAGAGGUAUUUCAAGUUGCUUUAGAGAGAAAAUUACCAAAAAAACCCCACAAAAACCUUUUUUAAAAAAAUGAUUUUUGUAUUUUCCAUUAUAGUUGGUUUAGAGUUUUCUGUGGUGGCUCUACUAUACAGCCAAGUGACCCAGUCAUACAUACAUAUAUACAUUCUUUUUGUUACAUUAUCCUCUAUCAUGCUCCAUCGCAAGUG
rnacentral:lncRNA from 1 species